rnacentral:rRNA from 1 species
GAAUAUUGGGCAAUGGGGGAAACCCUGACCCAGCGACGCCGCGUGGGUGAUGAAGGCCUUCGGGUCGUAAAGCCUUGUCAAGAGGAACGAAUGACCUUGAGGCGAAUAGCCUCAAGGAGUGACGGUACCUCUGAAGGAAGCACCGGCCAACUCCGUGCCCGCAGCCGCGGUAAGACGGAGGGUGCAAGCGCUGCUCGGAAUUAUUGGGCGUAAAGGGUGCGUAGGCGGCUUCUUAAGUCUGACGUGAAAGCCCAGGGCUUAGCCUUGGAAGUGCGCUAGAAACUGGGGAGCUAGAGUACCGGAGGGGAGAGUGGAAUUCCUGGUGUAGCGGUGAAAUGCGUAGAUAUCAGGAGGAAUACCGGUGGCGAAAGCGACUCUCUGGACGGUAACUGACGCUGAGGCACGAAAGCGUGGGUAGCAAACAGG